CACGUAGGGUGCGAGCGUUGUCCGGAAUUAUUGGGCGUAAAGAGCUCGUAGGCGGUCUGUCGCGUCGGCUGUGAAAACCCGGGGCUCAACUCCGGGCCUGCAGUCGAUACGGGCAAACUGGAGUGUUGCAGGGGAGACUGGAAUUCCUGGUGUAGCGGUGAAAUGCGCAGAUAUCAGGAGGAACACCGGUGGCGAAGGCGGAUCUCUGGGCCAUUACUGACGCUGAGGAGCGAAAGCGUGGGGAGCGAACAGG
rnacentral:rRNA from 1 species